rnacentral:misc_RNA from 1 species
AAGUCAGUAACAAGGUUUCCGUGUAGGUGAACCUGCGGAAGGAUCAUUAAUGAGACCAUGCCCUUCGGGUGAGACCUCCCAGCCCACCUGUUUCCACCCGCCAUUCCCGUUGCCGUUUCGGCUCGGGUUCCCGGUCCGUGCGAAUCCGGACGGGCCCAGCCAGGGACGGCAAAGCCUUUUAAAAAAUCCCCGUAAUUUAUCAUUGGUCGUCUGAGUACUAUACAAUAGUUAAAAACC